AUACGGAGGAUCCAAGCGUUAUCCGGAUUUAUUGGGUUUAAAGGGUGCGCAGGCGGCCAUUUAAGUCAGCGGUUAAAUCGUGGGGCUCAACCCCAUUCUGCCGUUGAUACUGGGUGGCUUGAUUGCGGUCGAGGUUGGCGGAAUUCGUUGUGUAGCGGUGAAAUGCAUAGAUAUGACGAAGAACACCGAUUGCGUAGGCAGCUGACCAGACCGCAAAUGACGCUCAUGCACGAAAGGGCGGGGAUCGAACAGGAUUAGAUCCCCUGGUAGUCCGCACAGUAAACGAUGAAUACUUGUUUUCGGCGAUAUAAUGUCGGAGGCAAAGCGAAAGCGAUAAGUAUUCCACCUGGGGAGUACGCCGGCAACGGUGAAACUCAAAGGAAUUGACGGGG
rnacentral:rRNA from 1 species